rnacentral:rRNA from 1 species
GAACGCUGGCGGCGUGCUUAACACAUGCAAGUCGAACGAUGAACCUCACUUGUGGGGGGAUUAGUGGCGAACGGGUGAGUAACACGUGAGUAACCUGCCCUUGACUCUGGGAUAAGCCUGGGAAACCGGGUCUAAUACUGGAUACGACCUUCUGGCGCAUGCCAUGUUGGUGGAAAGCUUUUGCGGUUUUGGAUGGACUCGCGGCCUAUCAGCUUGUUGGUGGGGUAAUGGCCUACCAAGGCGACGACGGGUAGCCGGCCUGAGAGGGUGACCGGCCACACUGGGACUGAGACACGGCCCAGACUCCUACGGGAGGCAGCAGUGGGGAAUAUUGCACAAUGGGCGCAAGCCUGAUGCAGCGACGCCGCGUGAGGGAUGAAGGCCUUCGGGUUGUAAACCUCUUUCAGUAGGGAAGAAGCCGGCUUUCGGGUUGGUGACGGUACCUGCAGAAGAAGCGCCGGCUAACUACGUGCCAGCAGCCGCGGUAAUACGUAGGGCGCAAGCGUUAUCCGGAAUUAUUGGGCGUAAAGAGCUCGUAGGCGGUUUGUCGCGUCUGCCGUGAAAGUCCGGGGCUUAACUCCGGAUCUGCGGUGGGUACGGGCAGACUAGAGUGCAGUAGGGGAGACUGGAAUUCCUGGUGUAGCGGUGAAAUGCGCAGAUAUCAGGAGGAACACCGAUGGCGAAGGCAGGUCUCUGGGCUGUAACUGACGCUGAGGAGCGAAAGCAUGGGGAGCGAACAGGAUUAGAUACCCUGGUAGUCCAUGCCGUAAACGUUGGGCACUAGGUGUGGGGGACAUUCCACGUUUUCCGCGCCGUAGCUAACGCAUUAAGUGCCCCGCCUGGGGAGUACGGCCGCAAGGCUAAAACUCAAAGGAAUUGACGGGGGCCCGCACAAGCGGCGGAGCAUGCGGAUUAAUUCGAUGCAACGCGAAGAACCUUACCAAGGCUUGACAUGAACCGGAAUGAUGCAGAGAUGUGUCAGCCACUUGUGGCCGGUUUACAGGUGGUGCAUGGUUGUCGUCAGCUCGUGUCGUGAGAUGUUGGGUUAAGUCCCGCAACGAGCGCAAC